rnacentral:rRNA from 1 species
GAUUUCUGACGAACCGGAGUGGCCCGUUUCCUUUCUGGGAAUGAGUGCCGCUUUGAGUUUGUCAUCCUUCCAGAGAGCUGCGUCUACCGUUUACUCGGCCGGACGUAUGCGAUCUGGAUCUAUUACUUUGAAAAAAUUAGAGUGUUUAAAGCAGGCUUAUGCUAUGAAUACAUUAGCAUGGAAUAAUAAUCUAGGACUUCGGUUCUAUUUUGUUGGUUUCUAUAACUGAAGUAAUGAUUGAUAGGGAUAGUUGGGGGUGCUAGUAUUGGCCGGCCAGAGGUGAAAUUCUUGGAUUCGGUCAAGACUAACUUAUGCGAAAGCAUU